CCCGCUGAACUUAAGCAUAUCAAUAAGCGGAGGAAAAGAAACCAACAGGGAUUACCUCAGUAACGGCGAGUGAAGCGGUAACAGCUCAAAUUUGAAAUCUGGCCUCACGGUCCGAGUUGUAAUUUGUAGAGGAUGCUUCGAGCAUGGUCUGGCCUAAGUUCCUUGGAACAGGACGUCAUAGAGGGUGAGAAUCCCGUAUGCGGUCAGGUGCCUACGCUCAUGUGAAGCUCCUUCGACGAGUCGAGUUGUUUGGGAAUGCAGCUCAAAAUGGGUGGUAAAUUUCAUCUAAAGCUAAAUAUUGGCCGGAGACCGAUAGCGCACAAGUAGAGUGAUCGAAAGAUGAAAAGCACUUUGGAAAGAGAGUUAAACAGUACGUGAAAUUGUUGAAAGGGAAGCGCUUGCAACCAGACUUGCGCGCGGCCGAUCAUCCGGUGUUCUCACCGGUGCACUCGGCCGUGCUCAGGCCAGCAUCGGUUUUGGGCGCUGGAUAAAGGCCCAGGAAUGUGGCUCCUCUCGGGGAGUGUUAUAGCCUGGGGUGCAUGCAGCCUGCUGGGAACCAAGACCGCGCUUCGGCUAGGAUGCUGGCUUAAUGGUUGUAAGCGGCCCGUCUGGAACCAGGG
rnacentral:rRNA from 1 species